rnacentral:rRNA from 1 species
AGAGUUUGAUCCUGGCUCAGGAUGAACGCUAGCGGCAGGCUUAACACAUGCAAGUCGAGGGGUAACAGGGGUUGCUUGCAACCCGCUGACGACCGGCGCACGGGUGCGUAACGCGUAUGCAACCUACCUUUCUACAGGGGGAUAGUCAAUAGAAAUGUUGAAUAAUACCCCAUACGAUCAUUAAUCUGCAUGGAUUGAUGAGGAAGGUUCCGGCGGUAGAAGAUGGGGCAUGCGUCCUAUUAGUUAGUUGGUAAGGUAACGGCUUACCAAGACGUCGAUAGGUAGGGGUCCUGAGAGGGAGAUCCCCCACACUGGUACUGAGACACGGACCAGACUCCUACGGGAGGCAGCAGUGAGGAAUAUUGGACAAUGGAGGCAACUCUGAUCCAGCCAUGCCGCGUGCAGGAAGACGGCCCUAUGGGUUGUAAACUGCUUUUAUACAGGAAGAAUAGUACCUACGUGUAGGUAUUUGACGGUACUGUACGAAUAAGGAUCGGCUAACUCCGUGCCAGCAGCCGCGGUAAUACGGAGGAUCCAAGCGUUAUCCGGAAUCAUUGGGUUUAAAGGGUCCGUAGGCGGUCUGAUAAGUCAGAGGUGAAAUCCUGCAGCUCAACUGUAGCAUUGCCUUUGAUACUGUUAGACUUGAGUUAUUGUGAAGUAGUUAGAAUGUGUGGUGUAGCGGUGAAAUGCAUAGAUAUCACACAGAAUACCGAUUGCGAAGGCAGAUUACUAACAAUACACUGACGCUGGGGGACGAAAGCGUGGGUAGCGAACAGGAUUAGAUACCCUGGUAGUCCACGCCGUAAACGAUGGAUACUAGCUGUUCGACCAACAUGGGUUGGUUGAGUGGCUAAGCGAAAGUGAUAAGUAUCCCACCUGGGGAGUACGCUCGCAAGAGUGAAACUCAAAGGAAUUGACGG